GACGAACGCUGGCGGCGUGCUUAACACAUGCAAGUCGAACGGUGAAGCGCUUGCCUUUUUGGUGGGUGUGGAUGAGUGGCGAACGGGUGAGUAACACGUGAGUAACCUGCCCUCUUCUUCUGGAUAACCUCAUGAAAGUGGGGCUAAUACGGGGUAUUCCGGGUCUGUCGCAUGGCGGGUUUGGGAAAGAUUGCGCCUUUGGGUGUUUUCGGUGGGGGAUGGGCUCGCGGCCUAUCAGCUUGUUGGUGGGGUGAUGGCCUACCAAGGCGGUGACGGGUAGCCGGCAUGAGAGGGUGGACGGCCACACUGGGACUGAGACACGGCCCAGACUCCUGCGGGAGGCAGCAGUGGGGAAUAUUGCACAAUGGGCGCAAGCCUGAUGCAGCGACGCCGCGUGAGGGAUGGAGGCCUUCGGGUUGUGAACCUCUUUCGCCAGUGAAGCAGGCCUGCCUCGUUUGUGGGUGGGUUGACGGUAGCUGGAUAAGAAGCGCCGGCUAACUACGUG
rnacentral:rRNA from 1 species